ensembl:lncRNA
CCGGAUAUCUGACAAGCAAAUCAAAACCAUUAGCUAGCUAGCUGCUCCUGUCACCUCUACUAUACCAACUGCCUAACAAGAUAAUAUAUAUAUAAAUACAGCUUAUAUAUAUUUGAAUACAUUUAUACAACACCGAAGAGCACUGGACUGAAAGCACCCAAGACAAAUGGAAAUGUUGCUGAUGAGGGCAUCCACGCACAGUAAG